rnacentral:rRNA from 1 species
GACGAACGCUGGCGGCGUGCCUAAUACAUGCAAGUCGAGCGCAGGAAGCUGACGGAACUCUUCGGAGGGAAGGCAGUGGAAUGAGCGGCGGACGGGUGAGUAACACGUAAGGAACCUGCCUCAAGGAUUGGGAUAACUCCGAGAAAUCGGAGCUAAUACCGGAUAGUUCAACGGACCGCAUGGUCCGCUGAUGAAAGGCGCUCCGGCGUCACCUUGAGAUGGCCUUGCGGUGCAUUAGCUAGUUGGUGGGGUAACGGCCCACCAAGGCGACGAUGCAUAGCCGACCUGAGAGGGUGAUCGGCCACACUGGGACUGGGACACGGCCCAGACUCCUACGGGAGGCAGCAGUAGGGAAUCUUCCACAAUGGACGAAAGUCUGAUGGAGCAACGCCGCGUGAGUGAUGAAGGUUUUCGGAUCGUAAAACUCUGUUGUAAGGGAAGAACACGUACGAGAGGGAAUGCUCGUACCUUGACGGUACCUUACGAGAAAGCCACGGCUAACUACGUGCCAGCAGCCGCCGUAACAC